CCUACGGGUGGCAGCAGUGAGGAAUAUUGGUCAAUGGACGAGAGUCUGAACCAGCCAAGUAGCGUGAAGGAUGACUGCCCUAUGGGUUGUAAACUUCUUUUAUAUGGGAAUAAAAUGUUCCACGUGUGGGAUUUUGUAUGUACCAUAUGAAUAAGGAUCGGCUAACUCCGUGCCAGCAGCCGCGGUAAUACGGAGGAUCCGAGCGUUAUCCGGAUUUAUUGGGUUUAAAGGGAGCGUAGGUGGAUUGUUAAGUCAGUUGUGACAGUUGGCGGCUCAACCGUAAAAUUGCAGUUGAAACUGGCAGGCGGGAGUGGAGUAGAGGUGGGGGGAAGUGGUGGGGUAGGGGUGAAAUGCGGAGAUAGGACGAAG
rnacentral:rRNA from 1 species